rnacentral:rRNA from 1 species
GAUGAACGCUGGCGGCGUGCCUAAUACAUGCAAGUCGAGCGAACGGACGAGAAGCUUGCUUUUCUGAUGUUAGCGGCGGACGGGUGAGUAACACGUGGAUAACCUACCUAUAAGACUGGGAUAACUUCGGGAAACCGGAGCUAAUACCGGAUAAUAUUUUGAACCGCAUGGUUCAAAAGUGAAAGACGGUCUUGCUGUCACUUAUAGAUGGAUCCGCGCUGCAUUAGCUAGUUGGUAAGGUAACGGCUUACCAAGGCAACGAUGCAUAGCCGACCUGAGAGGGUGAUCGGCCACACUGGAACUGAGACACGGUCCAGACUCCUACGGGAGGCAGCAGUAGGGAAUCUUCCGCAAUGGGCGGAAGCCUGACGGAGCAACGCCGCGUGAGUGAUGAAGGUCUUCGGAUCGUAAAACUCUGUUAUUAGGGAAGAACAUAUGUGUAAGUAACUGUGCACAUCUUGACGGUACCUAAUCAGAAAGCCACGGCUAACUACGU